rnacentral:rRNA from 1 species
GACGAACGCUGGCGGCGUGCUUAACACAUGCAAGUCGAACGGAAAGGCCCUGCUUUUGUGGGGUGCUCGAGUGGCGAACGGGUGAGUAACACGUGAGUAACCUGCCCUUGACUUUGGGAUAACUUCAGGAAACUGGGGCUAAUACCGGAUAGGAGCUCCUGCUGCAUGGGGGGGUUUGGAAAUUUUCGGCGGUUGGGGAUGGACUCCGGGCUUAUCAGCUUGUUGGUGGGGUGGUGGCUUACCAAGGCUUUGACGGGUAGCCGGCCUGAGAGGGUGACCGGCCACAUUGGGACUGAGAUACGGCCCAGACUCCUACGGGAGGCAGCAGUGGGGAAUAUUGCACAAUGGGCGGAAGCCUGAUGCAGCAACGCCGCGUGCGGGAUGACGGCCUUCGGGUUGUAAACCGCUUUCGCCUGUGACGAAGCGUGAGUGACGGUAAUGGGUAAAGAAGCACCGGCUAACUACGUG